rnacentral:lncRNA from 13 species
CACUGGGCCCAGAGAGCCUUAAAUUUUAGUUCUCUGAUUUACAGUGGCAUUUUACCAAUUAGAGAAACGUGUGUGGUCUCUUUAAACAACUUUUCAUAAAAAUCUUCCUCCUUUGGAAUAUCUUUGUUUCAUGCAGUGUCGGUCCCGGUCCCUGUGAAAGCAGUUGUCUUAGAGUCUGACUGACUCUAGGUCCCCCAGUGUCUGCAGGACCUUGGAAGGCUAUAGUAAAGUGACUCUCAGUGGGAAUGGGGCCAGACACUUUUCCUAGAGGCAGGGACCUGGGAGGCAGUGUGUGAAAAACAGCAGAGUUAUAUUCUGCAUGUUAUUUUGUAUGUGAAGAUAAAAGGUAAAAAUCAGUAUGAAGAAUCUGUAUACGGAGCCCCUUGCCAUAGUCCCUUACCAGCCUUCCUCAACCAGCCUGGUUGAAGUUUUCAUGUUGUUUCUAUGAUAGAGAAGAAAAUAUGCCAUCAUGGU